rnacentral:rRNA from 1 species
UACGUAGGGGGCGAGCGUUGUCCGGAGUUACUGGGCGUAAAGCGCCCGCAGGCGGUCAAUUGCGUGAGUCGUGACAGUCCUCGGCUUACCUGAGGAAGCGCGGCUCAAACGGGUUGACUUGAGGACCAGAGAGGGACACGGAACUCCGGGUGGAGCGGUGAAAUGCGUAGAGAUCCGGAAGAACACCAAAGGCGCAGGCAGUGUCCUGGCUGGCUCCUGACGCUCAGGGGCGAAAGCUAGGGGAGCAAACGGG